rnacentral:tRNA from 1 species
GCCGGGAUGGCGGAAUAGGUAGACGCGCAGGACUUAAAAUCCUGUGAGCCGUAAAAGCUCGUGCGGGUUCGAUCCCCGCUCCCGGUA